AAGGCUUAAAUAGAAAAUAGGAAUCAUAAUGGAGCAUGGUUUCGUGGUAGACAAAAAUAUUUAACAUGGAAUUACGUUGCCAUCUUCACAGAAAGUUAUAAAUUGUAAAGUAAUAAUUGUAAACGGUGCAAAACCAGGACAAAAGUGCGUUAUUCGCACAAGGUGUUUCUGAAAAUAACUUUUAAAACGCAUUUACUAGUUUGCGCUGAAACAAUGCGAGUACCUUUAGUCAUCGGACGAAUCUGUUAGUCCGUCAAGAGCUCGGAAGCUAUGUGUAUUUAAGAAAUAAAUAGAUUUCUGUCUUAACAAGUUUGUACUAAAAUUUUCUAUAAGAAGUUCAAAGGUAUUCCCCUGUUAUAAGUAUUACGCCUACGUGUAAGAAACGGGUAUCGGUAGUUAUCUAAUAUUAGGUGGGUAUGGUGUGACCGAUAUCGCAAUUGUCACGCCAGCUGUGUAUCAUCUAGGGGUCUAAACCGUCUUUGAUCGCCACCAGGAAAUGUCUGUUAAGCGGAUAGCAGUUCUAGUCGUUUUUCUCUGCCUACAGGUGCACAUGGGAGAGCCCUUUGGUGGCUUAUUUAAUCACAUAGAAAAAAUGGCAUCUAAAGUGUUGAAUGCUACCGGAACUUCAAUACAGAAGAGCGGUAAUGUUGGUUCCAAGCUUGGACAGGUAUUGCAGAUUGUUGGGGACGCUAAAGUCUCCAAUAGUUCUUUCAGUCCAUUGGACUUAAUUCUAAGUGGAUAACCUAAUCAGUGCAAAUUCUCUUUUCUUUUUUUGGAUCUAAAAAAAUAAAUAAACAGUAAAUUGU